GGAUGUGAAGGCCUUCGGGCUGCAAUGUCUGUCACCCCAUUGAUGACCAGCAUUGAUGUGGCUUGAUCUGGCUGACUAAGUGGGUGCCCCUUUCCUCUCUCAAUGCUGCAUGUGUGUCCCUCCCAAAGAUGCACCCUCAGUCGAAGAGGACGACCAUCCCCUAUAGAGGAGGAGCAUUACUCGGUCAAGGGUGUAUGAGUAACUCUGCUCCCCUGCUAGAACCUUCAAAGAAGCUCUCAAGAAUUGUGAUGUUUCCAUUCUGCAUAUAUUAGUAUUGGUAGAACUUUAAAGAAAAUUCUAUAUAGCUAGUUAAGGUCUUUCACU
rnacentral:snRNA from 1 species